rnacentral:tRNA from 1 species
GUAGACGUUAGCUCAGUGCUUAGAGCUCCCGCUUGUUAAUCUUCAGGUCCGCGGUUCAAGUCCGCGUCUUACU